GAAUGUCCUAGGGGGUAUUGCACCUACCGAAGACUAUCAAACUCCGAAUGCCGUCAUCUUAUACUUGGGAGUCAGACUGUGGGUGAUAAGAUUCAUAGUCGAAAGGGCAACAGCCCAGAUCGUCAGCUAAGGUCCCUAAAUGUAAGUUAAGUGGUAAAGGAUGUGGGAUUGCACAGACAACCAGGAUGUUGGCUUAGAAGCAGCCACUCAUUCAAAGAGUGCGUAAUAGCUCACUGGUCGAGUGAUCCUGCGCCGAAGAUUUCCGGGGCUAAAACUUACUACCGAAGCUACGGCAUCAGUAAUGAUGGGUAGGGGAGCUUCCCAUACAGGUUGAAGCAUGACCGUAAGGACAUGUGGACAGUAUGGGAGUGAGAAUGUUGGCAUGAGUAGCGAGAUGUGGGUGAGAAUCCCACAGGCCGUAAACCCAAGGUUUCCAGGGGAAGGUUCGUCCGCCCUGGGUUAGUCGGGACCUAAGCUGAGGCCGAAAGGCGUAGGUGAUGGACAACAGGUUGAUAUUCCUGUACUACCGAUAACCGUUUGAGAGAAGGGAUGACACAGUAGGAUAAGCUAAGCACACUGUUGGUUAUGUGUGCCCAAGCAUUGAGGCAGUCAAAGUAGGUAAAUCCGCUUUGAUAAUGCUGGGAUGUGAUGGGGAGCGAAAUUUAGUAGCGAAGUAGCUGAUUUCACACUGUCAAGAAAAGUCUCUAUCGAGGUUAAAGGUACCCGUACCGCAAACCGACACAGGUGGGUGAGGAGAGUAUCCUAAGGCCAGCGAGAGAACUGUUGUUAAGGAACUCGGCAAAAUGACCCCGUAACUUAGGGAUAAGGGGUGCCACCAUCAGGUGGCCGCAGAGAAUAGGCCCAAGCGACUGUUUACCAAAAACAUAGGUUUCUGCUAAGUCGCAAGACGAUGUAUAGGAGCUGACGCCUGCCCGGUGCUGGAAGGUUAAGGGGAUCUGUUAGAGUAAUCGAAGCAGUGAACUUAAGCCCCAGUAAACGGCGGCCGUAACUAUAACGGUCCUAAGGUAGCGAAAUUCCUUGUCGGGUAAGUUCCGACCCGCACGAAAGGCGUAACGAUUUGGGCACUGUCUCAACAACAGACUCGGUGAAAUUGUAAUUCCGGUGAAGAUGCCGGAUACCUGCGACAGGACGGAAAGACCCCAUGGAGCUUUACUGUAGCUUGACAUUGGGUCUUGGUACUACAUGUACAGGAUAGGUGGGAGGCUUUGAAACCAGGACGCCAGUUUUGGCGGAGCCAUCCUUGGGAUACCACCCUUGUAGUACUGGGACUCUAACCAUAGGCCAUGAAUCUGGUCUUGGGACACUGUCAGGUGGGCAGUUUGACUGGGGCGGUCGCCUCCCAAAAGGUAACGGAGGCGCUCAAAGGUUCUCUCAGUACGGUCGGAAAUCGUACGUAGAGUGUAAAGGCAAAAGAGAGCUUGAUUGCAAGACAUACAGGUCGAGCAAGGAUGAAAAUCGGACUUAGUGAUCCGGUGGUUCUGCGUGGAAGGGCCAUCGCUCAACGGAUAAAAGCUACCCUGGGGAUAACAGGCUUAUCUCCCCCAAGAGUCCACAUCGACGGGGAGGUUUGGCACCUCGAUGUCGGCUCAUCACAUCCUGGGGCUGUAGUAGGUCCCAAGGGUUGGGCUGUUCGCCCAUUAAAGUGGUACGCGAGCUGGGUUCAGAACGUCGUGAGACAGUUCGGUCCCUAUCCGUCGCAGGCGUAGGAAAUUUGAGAAGACCUGUCCUUAGUACGAGAGGACCGGGAUGGACGUACCUCUGGUGUACCAGUUGUCCUGCCAAGGGCAUGGCUGGGUAGCUAUGUACGGAAUGGAUAAGCGCUGAAAGCAUCUAAGCGCGAAGCCAACUUCAAGAUAAGAUUUCCCACCGCAAGGGUAAGACCCCAGAAAGACUAUCUGGUUGAUAGGUCGAAGGUGUAAGUGCAGCAAUGUAUUUAGCUUAUCGAUACUAAUAGGUCGAGGACUUGACCAA
rnacentral:rRNA from 1 species